GACCCAAGGGUGUCCAUCGUGUUCAUGUGGGGGCACCACUAUGCCCCCAAAAGAGCUCAUAGUGCUUUCUUCAUUAUUGGUCCAUCAGAAUUGUACUGCUCCAAAUCACUUAGUUGGAACAGGAAAGGAAAUUCCAGGUGCUGAGCCUGUUGAUUUACCAGGGCAUCAUUGAUAACAAAUCAAGCUUUUUAUCUACCCUUCACUUCUUUGGGAACUUCACAAUGUUGGACACUGAGCUUCCAUGCACCUGGUCUAAAACGAGGAAGAGCAUAAGUUUCUCUGUAGAGUCACUUGACUUCCAGAAGACACCAUCAUCUCCAGUGUUGGGAUGGCUCAGGAACCUAAAGUACCUCCCAGAGCUCUGCUCAGCCACAAGAGGAGACUGACCUCUCACAGGCACCUGCUAUCAGUUUGACUUACAUGUAACCAGAAUUCUCAGAACUUGUUGGUUGCUGAGACAUGGAGCUGGCUCCUGUCCAUGUGUGCCAAGAGGACGUG